UGGAACUACACCCCUGGGUCUCCUGGGCUGCCUGAUUAUAGACAGAAAAUUGUGCAACUUCUCAGCCUCCGUAAUGGCAAAGAAUCUCAGGGCUCAGCUCGCCACUUCCUGAAUAAAGAGAGAAAAAUGCCCAGAGUGCUGGAUUCAUUGAGAGGUGCAGAGCGAUCAGCAGAAAUCCUGACCGACUGAGGGGCCCAGAGGGCAAAGGAAAAACGUUUCUCCGUUCAGCUACAACCUAAGAUAAGUGCGAGGUCCCCAGUCACCAAAUACUCCCCCAGCCCUCCCAGUGGCCACAGGGAGGCCAGCUGGGAGGAAGGUACAGGCUUCCCUGGCUUGUUGCUAUGGAGUCGGCGUCAUCCAAGACAGUAUUGUCAGUCAGUCCAAUUCAAAGACAGCAGUGGCAGUAAUGGAACUGCAUUGAAAUUACAAAUAUUUACUUGGGAAAAAAAAAGUCCAAAUCAGAUGUAACUGAGAUGAUAAGGUUCUGUUUACUUCUCUAGGUAGUAGCCGGGAAACAGCCAAACCAGUUAGGGUAGGAAAUUUUCUUUUUUUGGUCAGGUAUGUACUGAAUCACUGGCAGCAAACUUCAGGGAUUUUUAGGAGAGAAGCUUUCUUUCUCUCUAGGUUCUCCUGGGCAGAGUGCCUGUAUUCCUUCCCCUCCACACACUUUUUUAAAAGCAAUUCGAGGCCAGCUGAGCUCAUUUUGAUUAUUGCUGUUAGUUUCCUGCCACUUGUCUUUGUAGGCUGGAGUGAGGCCUCAGGAUUUAGAUGAGAAACAUCGGGCUGCUCUCCUCUUCGAGAAACCGUACCUGUGUGGUUUCCUAGCUUGCCUUUUCAUCACUUACUCGGUUGAGGUCUGCCAUAGCUGGCCUAUUAAAGAGAAAUUUGAAAUCAGUGGGUGAAAGGGCUAAGAGAGAGAAAAAUACAGUUGAGCAGUGAGUGUACUUGGCUGGGUACCCUUAUGGGAGACUGAUUUCAUUGGCCUUUGGAACACUGGAGGGGAUUGCAAAACAUGCAGCUAGAACAGAGCGAGAAUGCAGAUAGAAGCGGGGGGCAGAAUGGGGAGACAAAGAGGGGUUUCCCUUUCCUCAGACAGGGGGGAUCAUCCUUACUAAAGUGCGUUUCUUGGGGCAGCUCAGAAGCAGGAGAAAAUGCCAGGCAAUAAGGGCGGUGGCCAUUUGAAUAAUGAAUAUAUAACACGCAGUGAUUUCAAACCUCACAGUUUGUUAUUGGAAGUUUUUCUUCCCAUUUGGAGGGCAGGUUUCCAUCAAUUCUCUUGUCUAAUUCCUGCUUCCUGCCAAGCUGCUGCUGUUUUCAAGAAAACACUUGGGUCAUCGUUUGAGAGCUUCAAAAACCUCAGUGUUCAAUUAGCCUCCUUUUGAAUCCCUUCUGACGGUUGGUUAAAUAUGGGUCCAAAGUCCUUUCUGUGAGUAGGGCUGAUCCUGGGGUGAGGAAACUUAAUUUUCUGAGUGUUAAGAAACAAAAAUAAUGUUUUAACAGCACCAUUACUAGAAAACUUGGAAAUUGCACUCUUCUAGUCUGUUCUGUUCAAUUCCAUUUUAUGGACCUCUGAACAUUUCAUAGUACAAAGGGCUAUUAUAUAAAAAGGACAUUUGGAUAUCCUUCUUAAAGGUUCCCUUGUACUUUCAUAGCAUGUUUACAAGGUUACUAAGUAUGCUUUCUCAUCACUGUAUUUUAAAUGGCUCGACUACUACUCCCACGUUUGAGAAUCAUUGAAACUGCCUGAAUGGAACCGGGAUAUCCUUUGUUCCCCAUUGAUUCGGAAACAAAAGACGCAGGAAAAAAAGUUUAUUUUGCUGCUGAAUGCCAUAUGCAGAUGAACGCAUUGUCGAUUAAAUUAAACCAAGGAUCUGAAGACUUUUUCAAGCCUUAGAAAGAAUGUUCUUAUAGUUAUGGUACAUGUUAGAAUUUGCCCUCCAGUUUUCAUUUAUUCUGUUGUGCUUGUGUCUAACGUGGGGUUAUUUAAGUCACACACCCAAGUCUUCAGGAAUAAUAAAGCGUAAUCAAUAGAGGAGAAUCAGCAUCAAAAAAGACCAAAGUUGCUGUGUUGUUUCUUAGGUGGGAAAAUACCAGCUGGACAUAAGUAGGCAGUGCCCUCCAUUCAUUUCCUCCCUUCUCCAUCUUUUCCAGUUUCUCUAGACCGGAGAUUCUCAUUUUCGGCACUGUUGACAUUUGGACUGGGUCAUUCUGCGUUGCAGGGGGCUGUCCUGUGCGUUGUGGGGUGUCUACCAGCUUCCUGGGCCUAGACCCCAGAUGCUGGCGGCACCCCCCACAGUCAUGACAGGUGGGGACCACAGCAGGAAGUGCAUCCCAGCAUAUACAGCUAGAUGGU